GAUGAACGCUGACAGAAUGCUUAACACAUGCAAGUUUACUUGAAGCUAACUUCGGUUAGUGGAUGGUGGCGGACGGGUGAGUAACGCGUAAAGAACUUGCCUCACAGAUUGGGACAACAUUUGGAAACGAAUGCUAAUACCGGAUAUUAUGAUACUUCUGCAUGGAAGAAUCAUGAAAGCUAUAUGCGCUGUGAGAGAGCUUUGCGUCCCAUUACCUAGUUGGAGAGGUAACGGCUCACCAAGGCGAUGAUGGGUAGCCGGCCUGAGAGGGUGAACGGCCACAAGGGGACUGAGACACGGCCCUUACUCCUACGGGAGGCAGCAGUGGGGAAUAUUGGACAAUGGACCAAAAGUCUGAUCCAGCAAUUCUGUGUGCACGAUGAAGUUUUUCGGAAUGUAAAGUGCUUUCAGUUGGGAAGAAGCAAGUGACGGUACCAACAGAAGAAGCGACGGCUAAAUACGUGCCAGCAGCCGCGGUAAUACGUAUGUCGCAAGCGUUAUCCGGAUUUAUUGGGCGUAAAGCGCGUCUAGGUGGUUAUAUAAGUCUGAUGUGAAAAUGCGGGGCUCAACUCCGUAUUGCGUUGGAAACUGUAUGACUAGAGUACUGGAGAGGUAAGCGGAACUACAAGUGUAGAGGUGAAAUUCGUACAUAUUUGUAGGAAUGCCGAUGGGGAAGCCAGCUUACUGGACAGAUACUGACGCUAAAGCGCGAAAGCGUGGUAGCAAACAGG
rnacentral:rRNA from 1 species